rnacentral:lncRNA from 1 species
CUUCAAUUUGUCCUGGGGGCCUAUAAAUCACACCUACACGAGUUACUGUGUGAUUACCAAAUUCUAACGUAGCCCAAACGGACUCUAUGUUUGCCUCACUAACUUUUAUUAGGCUAGAUUUUAUGCUAUCCUUCACAUACAAGGCCACCCCUCCCGCUUUCUUGCCUUCCCUAUCUUUCCUAUAUAAAGAGUACCCUGGUAUUGCUAUGUCCCAGUCAUUUUUCUCAAUG